AUGGAGGGUGAGGAAAUGGCCGCCCAGCUUAAAGCGCUGACUGAGUUGGUGCAGCAACUGCAGGCGGAUAAUAGGAAGCUUAGGGAAGAGGUCACACAGCGACAAGCCCCCCCAACUGACAGCGGUGCGUCAUCAGGUCAGUCCUCUAGCUCUAGUACUGUACAUAAUGAUGACCGUAGGCCAGGCCCACCUGUAUUAGAACGGUAUGUGUACAUCCCUCGUGAUCGUAAAUGCCCAAGGUUUUCAGGGAAGCUAUCCCAUGAUUCUUUGACUGUGGAGGAAUGGGUUGAGGAAGCCCGUCGCCAUUUGUCUCUACGUCCUAUGCCCCUUUCUGAACAGACCCUAAAUAUCUUUGACUUGCUUGAUGGCGAGGCCAAAGCAGAAGUUAAGUUCCGCCCUACCUCGGCUUGUGAUAGCCCAGAGAAAAUCUUCGAAAUACUUAAAAGUAUGUAUGGGUGCACUCAGUCUUAUAUUAGUCUUCAGAAAGCAUUCUUCCAGCGACGACAACUUGAGAGCGAGUCCUUAAGAGAAUAUUCUCAUGCGCUCAUGCACAUGCUAGAAGCCGUGAAUCUAAGAGAUCCUGCAUGUUUUGCUAAUCCGGACAUAGUAUUACGUGAUCAAUUCAUCGAGAAUGUGAGGGAUGUCAUGUUGAAGCGUGAGCUGCGACGUCAAGUCCGGUCUCAGCCCUCCAUUGUGUUCUAUGACAUUCGCAGCGAAGCUUUUCGCUGGGUACAGGAAGGCGAACACACUAGUCAAAGACCCCGUGCCCACUCUUUUAGCACACAUGCUGCUCCCGCGUAUGACGUUGAUUCUAAUGCUGUAUCUGCUAAGCCCACAAACGAGUUGACAGAGCUGAAAGAAUCCCUUCGUAAACAACAGGCUCAGCUAGACACAAUCUUGAAACGACUUGACUCUUCCCAGCUUGCCGCUCCCUCCAGCCUUGGGCCACAGUCACGUCCACGCUUGCGCUUCCAAGCCGAUGGCACACCCAUAUGCGCACACUGCAGCCAGCCCGGUCACAUAGCGCGAUUCUGUCGAUCUAGGUCUAGUACUGGUCCUAGAAUAGAGGUAGCAUCCCAUGCCCAAACUCAGCAGCAGGAAAACUAG
rnacentral:lncRNA from 1 species